UUAAACAUUGACCAGGUUGGCUUCAGGCAAGGAAGUGCUUGUCAUGUUGAAAUCAAUACUAGUUGGCUAGAAUGUGCCAGGCGUCAACAUGCCACCUUUCUUACGUCAAUAAAGCCCCAAACUCUUUUACCUUGGAACUUUUAUCUAUACACCUUGACCUGUUCCUUUGUGAUGUGGCAGAGAAAGGCUACUACUGGUAUGGAUUCUCGCACUCUGACAGCCCAAAGAAUGGAAGAAGAGGAACUGCUGAAGGAAAGGUUUCAGGCCAUCACGG